UCCGUAGGUGAACCUGCGGAAGGAUCAUUGUCGAAUCCUAGAAAGGACGACCGAGGACAUGUAAAUUAAUUGGGUAAGCGUCGGGCCGCCCUUCGGGCUGCUCGUCGCCCCCAGCUGGCCGGUCGGGGGACUUGCGACCCCGGCCGUCCGGACCUAACGAACCCCGGCGCGAACAGCGCCAAGGAAUCAUACAAGGAUGAGCUCGUCCAUGCGGUCCGUCCUCGGACUGCGUGGGGCGAAGGUCUACACAAAUACAACAACGACUCUCGGCAACGGAUAUCUCGGCUCUCGCAUCGAUGAAGAACGUAGCGAAAUGCGAUACUUGGUGUGAAUUGCAGAAUCCCGUGAACCAUCGAGUCUUUGAACGCAAGUUGCGCCCGAAGCCAUUAGGCCGAGGGCACGUCUGCCUGGGCGUCACGUGAUAGUGUGCCCCCCAACCAUCUUUGCGUGGGGGGGCGAAGCUUGGCCUCCCGUGAGCUCCAACUCGCGGUUGGCUUAAAAACGAGCCUCGGGACGGCGAUGACGUCGCGACAAGUGGUGGUCAGGAGGCCUUCGAGCCCCAGGGCUUUGCGAGUCGCGGGUCUGGUCCUCCUCAUGCUCGAAAGUGACCCUCAAUGGGGCGUCCCCGACGCCGCCAGCAUCGCGACCCCAGGUCAGGCGGGACUACCCGCUGAGUUAA
rnacentral:rRNA from 1 species